CUUACUUUCUAUAGUCCUCAUUCUAUAACUUUUGAUCCAAAUUAUUCCAGAGAUUGGAUUAAAAACAAAUGGAUGUGGCAUACAGGGAGCAUCUCAAAUCAUUCAUUCUCACCAGCAGGUCUCAUGUGCUCCGAAACCAACUUGAAGCACUCUCCUUCUUCCUCUAGCAUGGUGACUGGAUUCCAAGGGAAACUGUAUCAAGAAAAACAGCACCAAAAAAAGUCAUGUCACCUUUCCUGACCAGUGAUGCAGCUUCCAUUCUACCACAUUCCAUUCAUCAAGAAUGUGAUGGUUGGAGCUGUUGUAGCUGUAUUACAACCAGGAGGAAAGACUUUGCUGACGUACUAAGGAUGGAAACUAAAAAAAGUUCUUUAGAUCAAGAGGAACUACUUGAAGAGCAGCACUCAACAAAUCUGCACAUCGACCUGGUUUAAAUGCUAAGAUCCUGCCCUUGUAGAUUCGAUGCCAUAAUGAUGAGACUUUCACAAGGUCAAGGGAGAAGGUCCUCCAUGCAUCACUGCUGUCAGAGAGAUUCCAGCUCCUCUCCAAUGCUCAUCAAAGAUAUGAGAGAGAUGAAUGCAUAUAACAGAAGGAGUGUGGAUAACAGAUACCUAAGAGAGAAUGAGAAUUGGAAAAGACCGACUGAACAGACAAGGGAGCUAAAUACAGGACAAGAACUGGAACUCACUGGACUGCAAGAGUGAAGGAGUUAUAAUGCUCCUGCUCUCCAAGCUGUGGGUGGCUGGAGUAACAGAGCUGCGACACUCCUGCUCACAGAACUACAGGAGUAAAAAAGCCACAGUACCACCAUCAUCACUUUACCCUUUAUUUACCUGGACAAGUCAAGAGAGUCCAAGAAAAGUUCUUAAAGAACUUGGCUAACAUGAACAUUGUGAAGUUGGGGUUCGGAAGGAAAAGCAAUUUGGGUUGAAAAUCAAGAACAUGUUUGUAGUUGUCUUCCUGGAGGGAAAAUGAACAGAGAAACACUGGCCAUGACCACUUGUGCACUGUGGGCAUGAGUUUUAUGUUUUUGUAUCAAAAUUAAGUUUGAAGUAUUAAUAUUAUUUUGUACUGUACUUACAACAAUCAGAAAAUGACAGAAGCUCUUACAUCCAUGAAAUAUUUUCACCCAGGUGACGGAAAGUAAAGAUCUGAUAUACCUUUUUUGAAGGCAUUAAUGUGGUGGGUGCUAUUUUGUCAUUAUGUCACUACUGUUUAGCUCUUUCAAGGAACUCAUUUCUCAUGAGUGAAUUUUUUUCUACAGAAAUGGAGCCAUAAUAUUUAUACAGCUUUCUUCCCAUUUUUCUCUUAAUAAUAUAUACUUUGGAGAAAUUUUCACAUCAAUUCAUGUACUUCUACCUCAUCAUUUUUCCUGAUUGUUUAAUAAACAAUUUUAUGGUUGUACUGUAAGUUAUUU
rnacentral:lncRNA from 1 species